rnacentral:rRNA from 1 species
GACGAACGCUGGCGGCGUGCUUAACACAUGCAAGUCGAACGAUGACGACCGAGCUUGCUCGGUCUGAUUAGUGGCGAACGGGUGAGUAACACGUGAGCAACCUGCCCUUCACUCUGGGAUAACCUCGGGAAAUCGGGGCUAAUACCGGAUAUGAGCUCCUGUCGCAUGGCGGGUGUUGGAAAGUUUUUCGGUGAAGGAUGGGCUCGCGGCCUAUCAGUUUGUUGGUGAGGUAGUGGCUCACCAAGGCGAUGACGGGUAGCCGGCCUGAGAGGGCGACCGGCCACACUGGGACUGAGACACGGCCCAGACUCCUCCGGGAGGCAGCAGUGGGGAAUAUUGCACAAUGGGCGAAAGCCUGAUGCAGCGACGCCGCGUGAGGGAUGACGGCCUUCGGGUUGUAAACCUCUUUCAGCAGGGAAGAAGCGAAAGUGACGGUACCUGCAGAAGAAGCGCCGGCUAACUACGU